GGCGUUUCACAGUGUUGGCCGGGCUGGUCUCCAGCUCCUGACCACGAGUGAUCUGCCAGCCUCGGCCUCCCGAGGUGCCGGGAUUGCAGACGGAGUCUCGCUCGCUCAGAGCUCAAUGUUGCCCAGGCUGGAGUGCAGUGGCGUGAUCUCAGCUCGCUACAACCUCCACCUCCCAGCCGCCUGCCUUGGCCUCCCGAGGUGCCGGGAUUGCAGACGGAGUCUCGCUCACUCAGAGCUCAAUGUUGCCCAGGCUGGAGUGCAGUGGCGUGAUCUCGGCUCGCUACAACCUCCACCUACCUCCCAGCCGCCUGCCUUGGCCUCCCAAAGUGCCGAGAUUGCAGCCUCUGCCCGGCUGCCACCCCGUCUAGGAAGGACGUGCAUGACAAUUAGACUUUGUGCUCUACUGAAUGAGGGAAUAAAUCAAGAAAGAAGACAUGGAUCACUGGACUCAACAUAAGAAAGGGUUGAAGGAAAACCCCAUAAUGAUGGUGAAAGACUCAGCCCUCCUGCACCCAGGUGAUUAAAAGCUUUAUGGCUCACACAAAGCCUGUUUGGUGGUCUCUUCACACGGACACAAGUGAAAUUUGGUGCCAUGACUCAGAUCGAGGGACCUCCCUUGGGAGAUCAAUCCCCUGUCCUCCUGCUCUUUGCUCCAUGAAAAAGAUCCACCUACAACCUCAGGUCCUGAGACCCACCAGCCCAAGGAACAUCUCACCAAUUUUAAAUCAGGUAAGCGGCCUCUUCUUACUUGCUUCUCCAACCUCUCUCACUAUCCCUCAACCACUUUCUCCUUUCAAUCUUGGUGCCACUCUUCAAUCU
rnacentral:lncRNA from 1 species